CAAUAGCGUAUAUUUAAGUUGUUGCAGUUAAAAAGCUCGUAGUUGGAUUUCGGGUGGGACGCAGCGGUCUCGCAUUGCGUUUGUACUGCUGCAGCCCUCCUUCUUGCCGGGGGCGGCCUCUCGGACUUCACUGUCUGGGGGUCAGAAUCGGCGAUGUUACUUUGAGCAAAUUAGAGUGUUCAAAGCAAGCUUACGCUCUGAAUAUAAUAGCAUGGGAUAACACGACAGGACUCUGGCCUAUCGUGUUGGUCUAUAGGACCAGAGUAAUGAUUAAGAGGGACAGUCGGGGGCAUUCGUAUUCCGUUGUCAGAGGUGAAAUUCUUGGAUUUACGGAAGACGAACAUCUGCGAAAGCAUUUGCCAAGGAUGUUUUCAUUGA
rnacentral:rRNA from 1 species